rnacentral:rRNA from 1 species
AAUCAACGCUGGCGGCGUGCCUAACACAUGCAAGUCGAACGCGAAAGCGUCUUCGGACGUGAGUAGAGUGGCGUCCGGGUGAGUAACACGUAGGUAAUCUAACCUUCGGGUGGGGAAUAACGCCUCGAAAGAGGCGCUAAUACCGCAUAACGCAGCGGCAGCUAAUGCUGAUUAGUUGUUAAAGCGGGGGACCGAGAGAUC